rnacentral:rRNA from 1 species
UACAGAGGGUGCAAGCGUUAAUCGGAAUUAUUGGGCGUAAAGCGCACGUAGGUGGGCAAAUAAGUUGUAUGUGAAAGCCCUGGGCUUAACCUGGGAAUGGCAUACAAUACUGUUUGUCUAGAGUAUGGGAGAGGGAAGCGGAAUUUCUGGUGUAGCGGUGAAAUGCGUAGAUAUCAGAAGGAACAUCAGUGGCGAAGGCGGCUUCCUGGCCUAAUACUGACACUAAGGUGCGAAAGCGUGGGGAGCAAACAGG